rnacentral:rRNA from 1 species
UACGAAGGGUGCAAACGCUGCUCGGAAUCAUUGGGCGUAAAGCGCACGUAGGCGGCUUGGCAAGUCGGAUGUGAAAUCCCUCGGCUCAACCAAGGAAGUGCAUCCGAAACUGCCGAGCUUGAGUACUUAAGAGGAUCGCGGAAUUCCCGGUGUAGAGGUGAAAUUCGUAGAUAUUCGCAAGAACACCAGUGGCGAAGGCGGCUCACUGGCCCGGUACUGACGCUGAGGUGCGAAAGCGUGGGGAGCAAACAGG